rnacentral:ncRNA from 2 species
CUCUUUCCUACUGACAGUACUAAUACCCAGGGAAACUGGUCAUCAGGCGAACUGCGGCGUUCUGCUGGCAAAACAUAGCUUCGGUUAUGUCAAUGGCUAUUGGAUUGGUCCAUGAAGCGAAAAAUAGUUUACUGUGUCACUCGUACCGAUAACCGCAUCAGGUCUUCUAGGUAAGUAGCCUAUGGCCAUUGAGGCAUGAUAGUUCAGGGAAUUCGGCCAAUUAGAGCUGUAACUUCGGGAUAAAGCUUGGCUCUGAUGAAAAUCAGAACCGAUUGUUACGCGGAGAGCCCAACUGUUUAAUAAAAACGUAGUGUCGCGCUGUGGUAGUAUAGCCAGUGAACGCGACAUGAAUCCUGCUCAGUGCUGUGUCUGUUAAUAUGGUUCAAGCCAACGAAGCACCGGUAAAUAGCUGGGGUAACUAUGACUCUUAUCAAAGUAGCGAAAUACCUCGUCACUUAAUUAGUGACCUGCAUGAACGGAGCUAUGAGGUUCUCACUGUCCCAAACUGUCUCUCAGCGAACCAACUGUAGUGGGAACGGUCACUAGAUAUCCAGCGGGGAAAGAAGACCCUGUAGAGCUUCACUUUGGUCUAGUCUUGUAUAGUUCCUGCGGGGGUGUAGACUAGGUGGGAGAGCAAUCGAUUCUGAAAAACCACUACCCUGUUUGGAAUUAUGCUUACCUAUCACAAGGAAUAGGACUAGAUAGAAAGUUUGGCUGGGGCGGCACACCUUCGAAAGAGCAGCGAAGGUGUCCUAAGUUGAGCUCAGUGAGGACAGAAAUCUCACGUUGAGGAUAAGGCCAAAAGCUCAAUUUACUGUGCCUUUUUGUACUAGGAUCAGUUACGAAAGUAAGGCCUAACGAUCCCUAAAUAGCCUCAGGUGCGUGAGGAUUGGGGUGACAGACAAGUUACCUCCGGGACAACUGGCUUGUGGCUGCUAAGAGAUCAAAUCAACGCAGCUUUUUGAUUUCUCGAUGUCGGCUCUUCCUAUCCUAGUGAUGUACAAGUUGCUAAGGGUCGGAUUGGUCAC